AGCUGUGUUUCCGCAAAGCAUGGAUUUGUAGCGUGAUCGAAUUCUAGCAAACAAUUCCUCUAAAAGCGGACAGUCUUGGACCAGCAUUGAGAUAAGAUAAAAAGAAGAUCAAGUCAAGUGUGUUGUUAGAAAAACGAGGAGAGCUUUACCGACCAUUUUAAGGAAGUCCUGUACAUCUAAUGUGACAAUAUGAUAGGCGAAAAAUAUAUAUAUAAAUAUAUAUUAAAUAUAUUUAUAUUUAUAUUGAUGAUUAUAUAUUCUUAAAAUGUUUAUUAAAUUGAAUAAAAUAAAUACAGGGGAAUAUCUAUUAAGAAAAUCAUGACCUUGUAAAAGGUUGUUCAAUUGACCGCUACUGCAUAUGAAAUAUUUACAUGCAGAUCAUGAGGUGACAUGUAACAAUUAGUUAAACACUGGACAUACGUGUAUUGCAUACCAUGUGGAGACAUGUAGCAAUAACAAUUAGUUAAAACACUGGACAUGCGUGUAUUCUUUGAGCAUUAAUUUCCAGGUUGGCCAAAACAUGUCAAUUAGAGUCAACUUAAUAGAUAUUCAUCCCUGUAUCUUUUGAUUUAAGACUAUAAUGGUCAAAUUAAUAGAAACCUUGAAACUGCUUAUAUUCUGUAUAUAUACUUGUGUAUUUUACUGUAUAGAGGAGACCGUCCGUUAUGGACACUGGUCCAGACGGGCUUGAAUAAACUACUAUUCCAAAUAACCAUGUGUUGUGUUACAUGUGGUUAUUUUUGGUUAACCGUGACCAAAGGAUAAUAAGGUGUUUAGCCAAGAGAAUUUAGUAAUAGAGAGAUUCAAAUAGUCACACGAUACAUUGGUGGCGAUCAAAUGGUGUCAACUGAUGUUGAGGGCGAUGGUACUGCCUACAGAGAUGUUAAAAUAGCUUCUGCACCAUUACUGAGAACCAGCCACUAAGAACCAUUAUCCAGUAUUGGAUAUUGGCUUUGAUCAUUGGACACAACGCAGACGUUAAGAUUUACAUAAAACUAUACGAUCACAUAACUUUUUAUUGGUAGAGGGAAUCGUUCUACAGCAUCACAGGUAGAUUUUCCUGUAAUGUUUCAGCCGGUGAUAACUGAGCAACCUAGUCAGGGACUCUGAAUUAACAGAGUAGGUAAGCUAGGUCAGUUAGGAGUAAAUCAACAACGGAUGGUGGAUCACAUGAAGGACGGAUGGUGGAUCACAUGAAGUACGGAUGGUGGAUCACAUGAAGGACGGAUGGUGGAUCACAUGAAGUACGGAUGAUGGAUCACAUGAAGGACGGAUGGUGGAUCACAUGAAGUACGGAUGGUGGAUCACAAGAAGUACGGAUGGUGGAUCACAUGAAGGACGGAUGGUGGAUCACAUGAAGUACGGAUGGUGGAUCACAUGGAGUACGGAUGGUGGAUCACAUGAAGGUCGGAUGGUGGAUCACGUGAAGUACGGAUGGUGGAUCACAUGAAGUUGGAAUGAUUGCAGAACUUCUAAAUGACGGGAAUUGGUGUCGCAGAUAAACAAAUGGAUUGUUGGAGUUGACAACGACGAUCAGAGGAGCAGUUCACUGGAGUCGGGGUUAUGAAGACGGUCCGCAGUUGAUGGUUGCGCCUUUUUCUAGGAAUAAGAAGUUCCAAUAGUUGAUGUUACGAACUUAGAUGUUCACACAAGAAUUGUAUGAACUAUACAUUGCUGAACAUUUAGAUGUUGUUGAACUUUUGAAAUGAUUUUAUUUAUGAAUAUUUUUGUUGUUUUUAGGGAAAUUUGCAAGUAUUCAUAUUGUCACCGAUUUUAACUAAAAUAUAAAUUAUAUUUCUUAAGAAAGGGAGGAAUGUGACAAUAUGAUAGGCGAAAAAUAUAUAUAUAAAUAUAUAUUAAAUAUAUUUAUAUUUAUAUUGAUGAUUAUAUAUUCUUAAAAUGUUUAUUAAAUUGAAUAAAAUAAAUACAGGGGAAUAUCUAUUAAGAAAAUCAUGACCUUGUAAAAGGUUGUUCAAUUGACCGCUACUGCAUAUGAAAUAUUUACAUGCAGAUCAUGAGGUGACAUGUAACAAUUAGUUAAACACUGGACAUACGUGUAUUGCAUACCAUGUGGAGACAUGUAGCAAUAACAAUUAGUUAAAACACUGGACAUGCGUGUAUUCUUUGAGCAUUAAUUUCCAGGUUGGCCAAAACAUGUCAAUUAGAGUCAACUUAAUAGAUAUUCAUCCCUGUAUCUUUUGAUUUAAGACUAUAAUGGUCAAAUUAAUAGAAACCUUGAAACUGCUUAUAUUCUGUAUAUAUACUUGUGUAUUUUACUGUAUAGA